AUUUCUUGUUCUUACACAGAGUUCAGAGAGAACAUCAGAAGAGACCAGAGUCUGAUAUUCCACGUGUUCAGUUUGCUCAGAAUUAUCCAGUGGACCUGUCCUCAAUAUUCAGGGUGAGCUACGCAAUUAAACAUGUACAUUUAAAAAAAACGAUUUGACAGUUUUUAAAAGUGCAAUUAAAACAGCCUUUUAAUUUGUAAUUCCUUUGAACUGUUUCAGUCACUUGAGGAUGAUGUAACUUUUAUGAGGGAUGAGCUGGGAAAAAAACUGCAUUGUUGGUUAAGGGUUUGUAAGUAAGCAUUUCACUGUAAGGUCUGCACCUUUUGUAUUCGGCCCAUGUGAAAAAUAACAUUUGAUUUGAUUUGAUUAAUGUUUUAUGCAUUGUUUGGUCACUCAAAUGACUUGGCGUGAUCUGUCAACUAAAGCUCCAAACUUCCUUGAAGGAGUUUCAGUAUGUGUUUGAGAGAGUAGCUGAGCAAGGAAACCCAACCCUUUUAAAGAAGAUCUACAUAGAGCUCUGCAUUACAGAGGGUGAAAGUGGCGAGGUCAACAUCAAGUGAGACAGCAUCAAAGAAACCAGCGACACAGAUGCCGUCAGGCUCAGAUCGGACCCAGAGACAGCGCACACACUCCUCUUUCUGUAUGAGAACAGAAUAGUGACAUGGGUGGGAGAGAAGCAGCCAUAUCCUGACCAUCCAGAAAGGUUUGAGCCCUCACAAUGUGCUGCGUGGAGAGAGUCUGACUGGAUGCUGCUCCUGGGGGACAGAGUGAAGAGGACGGGCUCAUGUAGGAGUGACAUAUGAAAGGAUCAGAUGGAAAGGAGAGCAUGAUGACUCUCUCCAUGGAUACUAUGACAAAUCCUGGAUUCUAAAGUGCCCUGGUGGCAAUUAUACUGCCUGUCAUAAUAGGAAGGGUAGUGACAUGCAUGUCUUCUACUCUCGCUCCGACACAGUAGGAGUGUAUCUGGACAGAGUCAAUUGUAACACACUGAUCCACCUGCACACAUAAUACCCGGCAGUCACUGAGCCUCUCUACCCAGGGGUUUGGGUUGGCGUUCACGCCUCAGUGUCCCUGUGCCAAGUAGAACUCCGCGUCCUGUGUCCAGAAGGAACACCUUCAGGAAAGUCACACUCCUGUCCAAACACAACUGUGGGACAUGACGGGGCACUUUUUUGCUGUCAUCAUGGCAGACAGCGGGGGCGUUGUACUCGUCUAGUCCAUUCAGUGCAGAUUUGAAUAACCCCUUUCGCAAAGAGACACCUUUUACAACGUAGAUUUGUCUGGAGACAUGGGUUGGACACGUAGCCUCGGGAAGGACGGGUGCUGAAGGUGCUGCAGCACCCCCUGGUGGUGAGAUUGUAAAACUGUAAGAAUUUGUGUCGCAAUAAAAAACUAGUAAACCAUUUUUCUGUUGUAUUGUUGACAUAAAUGAUAAUGGGAUUGGGUUAGGGGCCCAUUCUGCAUGGAGAGCUCUCAGCUCUGUUUUGUAAUCGGUGUGCUCGUGAUAUUCUGGUGAAGCAGUGGGACAGCACGUAAGGGGGUACGUCACGAAAUCAUGAACUAAUGCUCACAUGUGUGGUUGCUUGCAAGACUCUGCCGAACUUGAGAAAGUGAAAUAAGGCAGAGCCAAGAGUG
ensembl:lncRNA